UCGUGUCCAAAACUUAUAACGUAAUCUAUCGAUAAAUGUUCUCAUCUAUCAAUAGAUAUAUUAUUUUAAGUGUGCUUGACGCUUCAUUUCUCUCAUAACGACGGUACCCAAACACCUCUCCCUCUUAAAUUCUCUCAAUUCCUUAAUAAAUUUCCCUGAUUCUAAACAUUUAAAGUGUUUUUCUCUCAAUUUUCAACAUUAAAAACACAAAUUUUUCUCAAAAAAAUAACUCCACCUCUCUUUUUUUUCG
rnacentral:lncRNA from 1 species